rnacentral:lncRNA from 1 species
AUCUACGCGUUGAUGGUGGUUUGAGAUUGUGAGGUGAUGGUUUGAGCUGUUUUUGAAUUCAGCUGGUUUUACCAGCUCGAGCUUCUAUGUUCGUCGCUCUUCGAUUCGAAUUUAAAGAUUUCGCAGACAGAGCUCUAACCAAAUCGGAAGAGAUUACAAGUAUUCGGCGGCAUUUCAGCAGCUGAUCCAAUUCGAUCUCGUGGUGGCUGAAACAUGUUUAAUCUUAACCAAAGGGUCAUGGUUCAUGGUUGUAAUUUCAUGAGACUGAAGCUUUUAUAUCGUGGGAUUUGGGUUGGGGUUAUGGGUUGAAUUCAGAUGGAUGUAUAAGAUAUCGGGACGAAAGACUCGGUGGAAGGGCCGAAGUGCUGGACCGAUCUUUGUCAUCCGGCCUUUGCCAUGGCAGUCGGACAUGGAUUCUGGACAACUACGGCCGCAUCUAUAUCUCGUCGCCAAAGUUUUGAAAGUUGCAGGAAAUGAAGUGGGAAACAAAAGCAAAAGAAGAAAAGAAUAGAAAAAGGAAAAUGAUGUCUGGAGAUGGAGAAAAUGAUGAGGUUUGUUAUGGGGGAGGCCAUAGUCCACCACUAUCAAGUCUGCCACACUCAAUCAUUCAUUUGCACUCAUGGAAAACAACCACAAAGAUAAGACUCUUAUCUUUACAGCUCUUACCCACUGUCAUUGAUGAAUAUUUUAUUAAGUUGUCUUCUGCAAACUGGAGCAAUUAUUAUAUAGUGAUACUGAUGUGUAAAGAAGGCAACAUGCCAAAAAAAAAUAAAUAAAUAAUGUCGGCAAGCCCAAAAUAGUGGGCUGGAAUGUUAUGUGAAGGGUGAAGGCCCAUAUGCACAAAAAAGCCAGGCCCUAUGGCUUCAAACUCCAACCUCCAUCCCUCCACUUAAGGUUCACCCUUUAUUAUCACCAACUAGGUGAUCAAAAGUACGUCUAGUACUCCAAUAUUAUUCGGCAGCCUGCUGUUAUUAUCAUUAACCAGGUGAUCAAAAGUACAACCCAUCCUUAAAAAAAUCAUACAUGAGCAUCACUCAUGACAAUCACCAUCAUACAUAAGCAUCACUCAUGUCAACAUUCAUGAACAUCACUCAUGUCAACAUCCAUGAGUAUCACUCAUGUCAAUCAACAUAAACAUUCAUGAGCAUCACUCAUGUCAAUUAGCUUCGAAAUCUUCAUUUACAGAGCUCUAGCUUCGAAAGCUUCAUUUAUAGAGCUCCAGCUUCAAAAGCUUCAUUCAUAGAGCUCCAGCUUCGAAAGCUUCAUUUAUAGAGCUCUAGCUUCGAAAGCUUCAUUUACAGAGCUCCAGUUUCGAAAGCUUCAUUUACAGAGCUCCAGCUUCGAAAGCUUCAUUUACAAGAGCUCCAGCUUCGAAAGCUUCAUUUACAAAAUCUCCAACUUCGAAAGCUUCACCUACAAAGCUUCAGUGCAUGGUAUACAAAGACCGCAACCAAGGCAACAUAAGCCACAAACCGAGCAGCCUCGCAACAUGUGCUACUUCUAGUUGAGUAUCAUUUCAGAUUGAGCACCGCCUCAUAUCGAGUAUCAGUUCUAGACGACAUCUAGUUACUUCGGCCCACACAUGGACUGAAUUUCAAGUCUCCAGCCAAAAGACUCUCUUGAUUGAAGACUUGGGGGACUACUGUUUGUACCAUACUUAGGGCCUCCGUAUUUAGACCUCGUAUAAAUACUCGGGGGACUCAAAUGUAAUUAUGUAAUAAAUGAAAGGGCAAAUAUGUAAUAAGUGAGGAGCCCUUAUUCUAUAAAAUGACUCUUCACUCCCCUCAUUAGGGGGUUGAAGGUUUAGGCCAUGGGAAGAGAGAAAACAUCUCAGAGAGGGCAAACACAGAAAAUA